GGAAGAGGACGAACCCCUAAGAACACCACAACGAAAUCAAUCAGAGCGAUUCUUGAGAACCCAAACAAAACUGUAAAAGAAUUGAGUCCAAAGGAAAAGGAAGAGAAGCGGUCACGUAGCUGUUCAUCUGCUCCAAAGUACCCCGAUCCGGUUGGCUUCGUGGAUUAGGGUUCAAGAUUUGGUAGAUGUCAAUUGCAUUUGUUCCUUUUUUUUCUUAAUGCCGAAGUUUGGUUUGUGUAAGGAGAAAUAAACUUUGAUUUAUUCCGUAAGUGUUUCAAGCUGAGAAGAGAAGGGUUUGAGGCAGAGCAGAACACUCCAUGUUCCGUUUCGCUUUUGUAUCAAAAUGAGUUUUAAGGCCAAAGAUGAACGGUGCCUUUCCCACUGCCCUAGAUUAAUAUUGUUUUCUUUCACCCUAGGCUUUAAUGGAAUUCUUUCUCGGUCACGACGUGUGGUCGUUGGGGUGGGAGAAUCUUGUCUCCACACGUGUCUUCCUGCGGAAGGUGGAGGGUUUUGCUGGAUCCGACCCAUGGUUUCGGAUAACCCGGAUGGAUCCUGCCCAUUUGGUCCUCCUAGGUUGACGACCCACCCCCGCUCCGUCUAGUUUGCUGCGCCUUGAUGGGCCUUAGGAGCAUUCAGGGCCCGCCGUUUUUUUUACUGUUUUUGUUGGCAUUUGUUUUGUUUUUAUUAUUUCUCUUUUUCUUUUCUUUCAAGAAAUAAUUUUAUUUAUUUAAAAUGAAGUUUUAUUUAUCAAUUAGGUUUUUUAUCAA